ensembl:lncRNA
GGGCAAGUCAGAAUGGUAUUAGGUUUCAGGGCCUCAGAAGCUGGCGGACUCGGACUGUGGCUCCACAGCUACACCUCACAGGUUGGUGUUGCCGCCCCGGGAGAUUCCUGAGCGUUGGUUCUGGAGGCAGCCCGAGCAUGCGCAGCUCGCUGCCUGGGGUGUCCGGCUCCUGUCAGGGCAGUCCCGCAAGAGCUCGACAUCUCUGCGGGAUCCAGUUUCUAGUCCCCUGACUGUGCUCCUGAGAGAGCCCAGACCUCACUAUGCCUCCAAGUUUUGUGAGCGGUCAGGAGUCUGAGGGGACUGAGGUUUACUUGAUGUGACGUGUACGAGACUCCUGAGAACAGCUCUGGAACCGCGGCCCUCUGGUAUCCAGGACACUAAGGGGCUGGAAGACUGCAGACUACAUUUUCAAAUCCAUUGCCAACUGGUCUACUAUGGGAUUUCUUAAGGUCCUCAGAGACAUACAGUAAGUAAUAAAAAUAAAACUGACAAAGGAACAAACAAGCCACUGGCAGAUUCAUCUUCAGCCAAAAGACACUGG